rnacentral:rRNA from 1 species
GCAAGUCGUACGCUAGCCGCUGAAUUGAUCCUUCGGGUGAAGUGAGGCAAUGACUAGAGUGGCGAACUGGUGAGUAACACGUAAGAAACCUGCCCUUUAGUGGGGGAUAACAUUUGGAAACAGAUGCUAAUACCGCGUAACAACAAAUCACACAUGUGAUCUGUUUGAAAGGUCCUUUUGGAUCGCUAGAGGAUGGUCUUGCGGCGUAUUAGCUUGUUGGUAGGGUAGAAGCCUACCAAGGCAAUGAUGCGUAGCCGAGUUGAGAGACUGGCCGGCCACAUUGGGACUGAGACACUGCCCAAACUCCUACGGGAGGCUGCAGUAGGGAAUUUUCCGCAAUGCACGAAAGUGUGACGGAGCGACGCCGCGUGUGUGAUGAAGGCUUUCGGGUCGUAAAGCACUGUUGUAAGGGAAGAAUAACUGAAUUCAGAGAAAGUUUUCAGCUUGACGGUACCUUACCAGAAAGGGAUGGCUAAAUACGUGCCAGCAGCCGCGGUAAUACGUAUGUCCCGAGCGUUAUCCGGAUUUAUUGGGCGUAAAGCGAGCGCAGACGGUUUAUUAAGUCUGAUGUGAAAUCCCGAGGCCCAACCUCGGAACUGCAUUGGAAACUGAAGGAUUA